CCCUUAGAUGUUCUGGGCCGCACGCGCGCUACACUGAUGCAUUCAACGAGCCGAUCCUUGACCGACAGGUCCGGGUAAUCUUUGAAUCUGCAUCGUGACGGGGAUAGAUUAUUGCAAUUAUUAAUCUUCAACGAGGAAUGCCUAGUAGGCGCAAGUCAUCAGCUUGCGUCGAUUACGUCCCUGCCCUUUGUACACACCGCCCGUCGCUCCUACCGAUUGGGUGUGCUGGUGAAAUGUUCGGAUCGGCCGUUUGUCGCGGUUUCCGCGUCAUGUGGCUGAGAAGUUCAUUAAACCCUCCCACCUAGAGGAAGGAGAAGUCGUAACA
rnacentral:rRNA from 1 species